rnacentral:rRNA from 2 species
GGUUAAGCGACUAAGCGUACACGGUGGAUGCCCUGGCAGUCAGAGGCGAUGAAGGGCGUGCUAAUCUGCGAUAAGCGCCGGUAAGGUGAUAUGAACCGUUAUAACCGGCGAUACCCGAAUGGGGAAACCCAGUGUGACUCGUCACACUAUCAUUAACUGAAUCCAUAGGUUAAUGAGGCGAACCGGGGGAACUGAAACAUCUAAGUACCCCGAGGAAAAGAAAUCAACCGAGAUUCCCCCAGUAGCGGCGAGCGAACGGGGAGGAGCCCAGAGCCUGAAUCAGCAUGUGUGUUAGUGGAAGCGUCUGGAAAGGCGCGCGAUACAGGGUGACAGCCCCGUACACAAAAGCGCAUGUGCUGUGAGCUCGAUGAGUAGGGCGGGACACGUGGUAUCCUGUCUGAAUAUGGGGGGACCAUCCUCCAAGGCUAAAUACUCCUGACUGACCGAUAGUGAACCAGUACCGUGAGGGAAAGGCGAAAAGAACCCCGGCGAGGGGAGUGAAAAAGAACCUGAAACCGUGUACGUACAAGCAGUGGGAGCCCCACCACUAAGCCAGUGGUGAACUCCACAUACGCAUCCUUUGCUGAGGAUACGGUUAACGGAGCGAAAGCGACGUUCAACCGCAAAAGAAGCAGAGGGGGCUUAGUGGUGGGGUGACUGCGUACCUUUUGUAUAAUGGGUCAGCGACUUAUAUUCUGUAGCAAGGUUAACCGAAUAGGGGAGCCGUAGGGAAACCGAGUCUUAACCGGGCGUUAAGUUGCAGGGUAUAGACCCGAAACCCGGUGAUCUAGCCAUGGGCAGGUUGAAGGUUGGGUAACACUAACUGGAGGACCGAACCGACUAAUGUUGAAAAAUUAGCGGAUGACCUGUGGCUGGGGGUGAAAGGCCAAUCAAACCGGGAGAUAGCUGGUUCUCCCCGAAAGCUAUUUAGGUAGCGCCUCGUGAAUUCAUCUCCGGGGGUAGAGCACUGUUUCGGCUAGGGGGCCAUCCCGGCUUACCAACCCGAUGCAAACUGCGAAUACCGGAGAAUGUUAUCACGGGAGACACACGGCGGGUGCUAACGUCCGUCGUGAAGAGGGAAACAACCCAGACCGCCAGCUAAGGUCCCAAAGUCAUGGUUAAGUGGGAAACGAUGUGGGAAGGCCCAGACAGCCAGGAUGUUGGCUUAGAAGCAGCCAUCAUUUAAAGAAAGCGUAAUAGCUCACUGGUCGAGUCGGCCUGCGCGGAAGAUGUAACGGGGCUAAACCAUGCACCGAAGCUGCGGCAGCGACGCUUAUGCGUUGUUGGGUAGGGGAGCGUUCUGUAAGCCUGUGAAGGUGGCCUGUGAGGGUUGCUGGAGGUAUCAGAAGUGCGAAUGCUGACAUAAGUAACGAUAAAGCGGGUGAAAAGCCCGCUCGCCGGAAGACCAAGGGUUCCUGUCCAACGUUAAUCGGGGCAGGGUGAGUCGACCCCUAAGGCGAGGCCGAAAGGCGUAGUCGAUGGGAAACGGGUUAAUAUUCCCGUACUUGGUGUUACUGCGAAGGGGGGACGGAGAAGGCUAUGUUGGCCGGGCGACGGUUGUCCCGGUUUAAGCGUGUAGGCUGGUUUUCCAGGCAAAUCCGGAAAAUCAAGGCUGAGGCGUGACGACGAGGCACUACGGUGCUGAAGCAACAAAUGCCCUGCUUCCAGGAAAAGCCUCUAAGCAUCAGGUAACAUCAAAUCGUACCCCAAACCGACACAGGUGGUCAGGUAGAGAAUACCAAGGCGCUUGAGAGAACUCGGGUGAAGGAACUAGGCAAAAUGGUGCCGUAACUUCGGGAGAAGGCACGCUGACACGUAGGUGAAGUGAUUUACUCAUGGAGCUGAAGUCAGUCGAAGAUACCAGCUGGCUGCAACUGUUUAUUAAAAACACAGCACUGUGCAAACACGAAAGUGGACGUAUACGGUGUGACGCCUGCCCGGUGCCGGAAGGUUAAUUGAUGGGGUCAGCGCAAGCGAAGCUCCUGAUCGAAGCCCCGGUAAACGGCGGCCGUAACUAUAACGGUCCUAAGGUAGCGAAAUUCCUUGUCGGGUAAGUUCCGACCUGCACGAAUGGCGUAAUGAUGGCCAGGCUGUCUCCACCCGAGACUCAGUGAAAUUGAACUCGCUGUGAAGAUGCAGUGUACCCGCGGCAAGACGGAAAGACCCCGUGAACCUUUACUAUAGCUUGACACUGAACAUUGAGCCUUGAUGUGUAGGAUAGGUGGGAGGCUUUGAAGCGUGGACGCCAGUCUGCGUGGAGCCGACCUUGAAAUACCACCCUUUAAUGUUUGAUGUUCUAACGUGGACCCGUAAUCCGGGUUGCGGACAGUGUCUGGUGGGUAGUUUGACUGGGGCGGUCUCCUCCUAAAGAGUAACGGAGGAGCACGAAGGUUGGCUAAUCCUGGUCGGACAUCAGGAGGUUAGUGCAAUGGCAUAAGCCAGCUUGACUGCGAGCGUGACGGCGCGAGCAGGUGCGAAAGCAGGUCAUAGUGAUCCGGUGGUUCUGAAUGGAAGGGCCAUCGCUCAACGGAUAAAAGGUACUCCGGGGAUAACAGGCUGAUACCGCCCAAGAGUUCAUAUCGACGGCGGUGUUUGGCACCUCGAUGUCGGCUCAUCACAUCCUGGGGCUGAAGUAGGUCCCAAGGGUAUGGCUGUUCGCCAUUUAAAGUGGUACGCGAGCUGGGUUUAGAACGUCGUGAGACAGUUCGGUCCCUAUCUGCCGUGGGCGCUGGAGAACUGAGGGGGGCUGCUCCUAGUACGAGAGGACCGGAGUGGACGCAUCACUGGUGUUCGGGUUGUCAUGCCAAUGGCACUGCCCGGUAGCUAAAUGCGGAAGAGAUAAGUGCUGAAAGCAUCUAAGCACGAAACUUGCCCCGAGAUGAGUUCUCCCUGAGACUUUAGGUCUCCUGAAGGAACGUUGAAGACGACGACGUUGAUAGGCCGGGUGUGUAAGCGCAGCGAUGCGUUGAGCUAACCGGUACUAAUGAACCGUGAGGCUUAACCUU